rnacentral:rRNA from 1 species
AAUUUAUACGGUGAAACUGCGAAUGGCUCAUUAAAUCAGUUAUCGUUUAUUUGAUAGUACCUUACUACAUGGAUACCUGUGGUAAUUCUAGAGCUAAUACAUGCUGAAAACCUCGACUUCGGAAGGGGUGUAUUUAUUAGAUAAAAAACCAAUGCCCUUCGGGGCUCCUUGGUGAAUCAUAAUAACUUAACGAAUCGCAUGGCCUUGCGCCGGCGAUGGUUCAUUCAAAUUUCUGCCCUAUCAACUUUCGAUGGUAGGAUAGUGGCCUACCAUGGUGGCAACGGGUAACGGGGAAUUAGGGUUCGAUUCCGGAGAGGGAGCCUGAGAAACGGCUACCACAUCCAAGGAAGGCAGCAGGCGCGCAAAUUACCCAAUCCCGACACGGGGAGGUAGUGACAAUAAAUACUGAUACGGGGCUCUUUUGGGUCUCGUAAUUGGAAUGAGUACAAUCUAAAUCCCUUAACGAGGAACAAUUGGAGGGCAAGUCUGGUGCCAGCAGCCGCGGUAAUUCCAGCUCCAAUAGCGUAUAUUAAAGUUGUUGCAGUUAAAAAGCUCGUAGUUGAACCUUGGGUUCGGCCGGCCGGUCCGCCUCACCGCGAGUACUGUCCGGCCGUUCCUUUCCUUCUGGGGAAUCCCAUGGCCUUCACUGGCUGUGGGGGGAACCAGGACUUUUACUGUGAAAAAAUUAGAGUGUUCAAAGCAGGCCUUUGCUCGAAUACAUUAGCAUGGAAUAAUAGAAUAGGACGUGUGGUUCUAUUUUGUUGGUUUCUAGGACCGCCGUAAUGAUUAAUAGGGAUAGUCGGGGGGCGUCAGUAUUCAGCUGUCAGAGGUGAAAUUUCUUGGGAUUUGCUGAAGACUAACUACUGCGAAA